UACGUAGGGUGCAAGCGUUGUUCGGAAUUAUUGGGCGUAAAGGGUUCGUAGGCGGUUUGUCGCGUCCGUUGUGAAAGCUUGGGGCUCAACCCCAAGACUGCAGUGGAUACGGGCAGACUAGAGUCAGGUAGGGGAGAACGGAAUUCCCAGUGUAGAGGUGAAAUUCGUAGAUAUUGGGAAGAACACCGGUGGCGAAGGCGGCUCACUGGCUCGUUACUGACGCUCAGGCGCGAUAGCGUGGGGAUCAAACAGG
rnacentral:rRNA from 1 species